AUUGAACGCUGGCGGCAGGCCUAACACAUGCAAGUCGAGCGGUAGAGAGGUGCUUGCACCUCUUGAGAGCGGCGGACGGGUGAGUAAUGCCUAGGAAUCUGCCUGGUAGUGGGGGAUAACGCUCGGAAACGGACGCUAAUACCGCAUACGUCCUACGGGAGAAAGCAGGGGACCUUCGGGCCUUGCGCUAUCAGAUGAGCCUAGGUCGGAUUAGCUAGUUGGUGAGGUAAUGGCUCACCAAGGCGACGAUCCGUAACUGGUCUGAGAGGAUGAUCAGUCACACUGGAACGGGGACACGGUCCAGACUCCUACGGGAGGCAGCAGUGGGGAAUAUUGGACAAUGGGCGAAAGCCUGAUCCAGCCAUGCCGCGUGUGUGAAGAAGGUCUUCGGAUUGUAAAGCACUUUAAGUUGGGAGGAAGGGUCGUUACCUAAUACGUGACGAUUUUGACGUUACCGACAGAAUAAGCACCGGCUAACUCUGUGCCAGCCGCCGCGGUAACAC
rnacentral:rRNA from 1 species